GCAGAUCCAUUUUCUGCCACCGAAUACAUUAGCAUGGGAUAAUGGAAUAGGACCCUGUCCUCCUAUUUUCAGUUGGUUUUGGCAGCGCGAGGACUAGGGUAAUGAUUAAUAGGGAUAGUUGGGGGCAUUAAUAUUUAAUUGUCAGAGGUGAAAUUCUUGGAUUUAUGAAAGAUUAACUUCUGCGAAAGCAUCUGCCAAGGAUGUUUUCAUUAAUCAAGAACGAAAGUUAGGGGAUCGAAGACGAUCAGAUACCGUCGUAGUCUUAACCAUAAACGAUGCCGACCAGCGAUUAGGAGACGUUGAAUACAAAACACCACCAUCGGCGCGGUCGUCCUUGGCGUCGGUCCUUCACGGGGCCGGCGCGAGGGCGGCUUAGCCCGGUGGCACCGGUGAAUGACUCCCCUAAGGUG
rnacentral:rRNA from 1 species